rnacentral:rRNA from 1 species
GAUGAACGCUAGCGGCAGGCUUAACACAUGCAAGUCGAGGGGCAUAGUUCUUCGGAAUUAGAGACCGGCGCACGGGUGCGUAACGCGUAUGCAAUCUACCUUUCACAGAGGGAUAGCCCCAGAGAAAUUUGGAUUAAUACCUCAUAGUAUAGCAGUUUCGCAUGAAACCACUAUUAAAGUCACAACGGUGAAAGAUGAGCAUGCGUCCCAUUAGCUAGUUGGUAAGGUAACGGCUUACCAAGGCAACGAUGGGUAGGGGUCCUGAGAGGGAGAUCCCCCACACUGGUACUGAGACACGGACCAGACUCCUACGGGAGGCAGCAGUGAGGAAUAUUGGACAAUGGCGCAAGCCUGAUCCAGCCAUGCCGCGUGCAGGAUGACGGUCCUAUGGAUUGUAAACUGCUUUUAUACAGGAAGAAACACUACUUCGUGAAGUAGCUUGACGGUACUGUAAGAAUAAGGAUCGGCUAACUCCGUGCCAGCAG